AUGUCACCACCCAGUACCUGUACUGUCAGAGAUGGCAUCUUGGGUGACCAUUCCCUGAGUGGAGGAAGAGAGGGUUCUGUGCAGGGGACUUCCUUGGUGGAUCACGGGGGGGAGACCUCCAAAUUGGCCAUGCAGGAGAUGAAUCCCCAGACAGCACAGAUGAGGCUGUGGGGCAGCAGGAGAUUAAAGUCCUCCAAGAAAUACAGCUGCUUCCGUGACAAGAGGGAAUUAUCAUCUUCAGACUCAGCAGGAAUAUGGGGUUGGUUUCAAGCCCAUGGAGCCACACAGUCCAAUUGAGAGCUACAACCUGUCCUGCCGCUGAGCCGCAUCCCAGUAGGCCAGCCACACCCUCAAGGCCAAGAAGACCAGGCCAUGAAGAAUCUCAGGCCCACUGAGUGCCCAGGUGGCAGGGGCAGAGUGCCUCAGGGCUCGGUGAAGUUUGGGAUGAGCAUGGGCUCUGGAAGUCAGACAGCUACACUGGGCUCCCAGCUCCACUGUGAUCAGCCCUGUGACUGGGGCAGGGAACUCACUGCUGUGGUACUUGAGCAUCACUGUCAUAAAUUUACUGUGUCUGUCCAAUCCUUUUCUUUUUUUUAAUCUCUCUUCCUCUAUAAUCACCAUGUACUACUGAUCUCUGUUAAUGUUUUUGUUCAAAUGAAUAAACAUAUGUUAUAUAGUGUGUAUUAUAUGUCCUCAUGAUUUCUUCACUAUACUAUAUGAUUCCACUCAUACGAACUUAACUACUAGAGUAGUUAAGUGUACAGAAACACAAAGUAGAAGAGUGGUUCCCGGGGCUACAGGAAGGUAGGUGAGGUGUUUAAUGGGUACCGAGUUUUAGUUUUGCAAGAUGAAAAACACCCCUAUGAAUGUGGAGGAUGCUCAUAAAACAGUGUGAAUGUGCUUAAUUCCUCUGACCUGCACACUUAAAAAUUGUUCAAUUAAAAAAAAAAAAAUUGUUGGUCAGGUGCAGUGGCUCACACCUGUAAUCCCAGCACUUUGAGAGGCAGAGGUGGGCAGAUCACCUGAGGUCAGGAGUUGGAGACCAGCCUGGCCAACAUGGUGAAGCCCCAUCUCUACUAAAAAUACAAAAAAUAGCCAGGCGUGGUGGUGCAUGCCUCUAAUCCCGCUACUUGGGGGCUGAGGCAGGAGAAUUGCUUGAACUCAGGAGGUGGAAGUUGAAGGGAACGAAGAUUGCACCACUGCACUCUAGCCUGAGUAACAGAGUGAGACUCCAUCUGAAAAAGAAUAAAAAAA
rnacentral:lncRNA from 1 species